rnacentral:rRNA from 1 species
UUGGAGGGCAAGUCUGGUGCCAGCAGCCGCGGUAAUUCCAGCUCCAAUAGCGUAUAUUAAAGUUGUUGCAGUUAAAAAGCUCGUAGUUGAAUUUCGGGGUUCUACCGUUGGUCGGGCUAACCAGUCUGUACUAGCGUGUAAAAUUCCUACCUUUUGGAGAACCAUCAUGUUAUUAAUUUAGCGUGGUGGGAAACCAGGACCUUUACCUUGAAAAAAUUAGAGUGUUCAAAGCAGGCUUGCGUCUGAAUACAUUAGCAUGGAAUAAUAGAAUAGGACGGUGGUCCUGUUUUGUUGGUUUCUGAAUCACCGUAAUGAUUAAUAGGGAUAGUUGGGGGCAUUAGUAUUCAAUUGUCAGAGGUGAAAUUCUUGGAUUUAUUGAAGACUAACUUCUGCGAAAGCAUUUGCCAAGGAUGUUUUCAUUAAUCAAGAACGAAAGUUAGGGGAUCGAAGACGAUCAGAUACCGUCGUAGUCUUAACCAUAAACUAUGCCGACUAGGGAUCGGACGAUGCUAAAUUUUAUUGACUCGUUCGGCGCCUUACGGGAAAC